GAUGAACGCUGGCGGCGUGCCUAAUACAUGCAAGUCGAGCGAAUGGAUUAAGAGCUUGCUCUUAUGAAGUUAGCGGCGGACGGGUGAGUAACACGUGGGUAACCUGCCCAUAAGACUGGGAUAACUCCGGGAAACCGGGGCUAAUACCGGAUAACAUUUUGAACCGCAUGGUUCGAAAUUGAAAGGCGGCUUCGGCUGUCACUUAUGGAUGGACCCCGUUCGCAUUAGCUAGUUGGGGAGGGAACGGCUCACCAAGGCAACGAUGCGUAGCCGACCUGAGAGGGUGAUCGGCCACACUGGGACUGAGACACGGCCCAGACUCCUACGGGAGGCAGCAGUAGGGAAUCUUCCGCAAUGGACGAAAGUCUGACGGAGCAACGCCGCGUGAGUGAUGAAGGCUUUCGGGUCGUAAAACUCUGUUGUUAGGGAAGAACAAGUGCUAGUUGAAUAAGCUGGCACCUUGACGGUACCUAACCAGAAAGCCACGGCUAACUACGUGCCAGCCGCCGCAGUAA
rnacentral:rRNA from 1 species